rnacentral:rRNA from 1 species
AUUGAACGCUGGCGGCAUGCUUUACACAUGCAAGUCGAACGGCAGCACGGGUGCUUGCACCUGGUGGCGAGUGGCGGACGGGUGAGUAAUACAUCGGAACGUGUCCUGAAGUGGGGGAUAACGCAUCGAAAGAUGUGCUAAUACCGCAUAUACUCUGAGGAGUAAAGUAGGGGAUCGAAAGACCUUAUGCUUUUGGAGCGGCCGAUGUCUGAUUAGCUAGUUGGUGGGGUAAUUGCCCACCAAGGCGACGAUCAGUAGUUGGUCUGAGAGGACGACCAGCCACACUGGGACUGAGACACGGCCCAGACUCCUACGGGAGGCAGCAGUGGGGAAUUUUGGACAAUGGGCGCAAGCCUGAUCCAGCAAUGCCGCGUGAGUGAAGAAGGCCUUCGGGUUGUAAAGCUCUUUCAGUUGAGAAGAAAAGAUUGUAACUAAUAAUUACAGUUCAUGACGGUAUCAAC